CAGAGGUGGGGUCAAACUGUCAUCCUUCAGCACUGGGGAGAGAUGUAGCUGCAAAUAGCAGCUUCAGAGAGAGGAGAGAUUUGUGGCUUUGCAGGCUAUUCAUGUUCCCUGGAUUUUUCUGAAGCAUGCAAAAGAUCUCUCUUGCAAGACUGGAGAACGCACCUAUCACAACACUGACCAGAUCAUCACUCCCUACUCCCUGAAACCUGAUAGUGAUGUGAAUUCACCUCAUCACCAGGAAAUCAAAUUAGCUUGUAUGUUUGCAGAAGAAAAACAAACAAUAAAAGAAGAGCCAUUAUCCAGCACACACAAUGAAGCUCUUGGGUCUCAUUCAUGCCAUCUGGAGAAAUUAAGUGCAUGCUUCACUCUGCUACUUGAACCAGAAGGAUUUAAAGAAUUUGAUCAUACAAUGAUGCUUUAUAUGAGUCAUGCUAUUGGUCUGCCUAGCUCAGUAUUGCCUAAAGUGAUUGGCACCAGCUCUCUAGCGAUCUUUUUCGAUCCUCCCAGAAGAUGCCAGGGACUGAAUCUAGAACCUUCUGGCAUGCAAAGCAUGUGCUCUGAUACUGAGCUACACCCUCAGAGUUUGGAUGGAUUGUGCUAUCAGAAUCAACUGUGAUUCGAGCCAGUGGCCUCCUUCUGGUUUGUGUGCAGGUGCCCCUGCUGAGUCCUUUGAAGCUGCAGAGUACAGGAAGAAUGGGGCAGCAUUUGUUGUCCAAAGUCCAAGGAUGGCUUGG